UACGUAGGGUGCGAGCGUUGUCCGGAAUUAUUGGGCGUAAAGAGCUUGUAGGCGGUUUGUCGCGUCUGCUGUGAAAAUCCGGGGCUCAACCCCGGACUUGCAGUGGGUACGGGCAGACUAGAGUGCGGUAGGGGAGACUGGAAUUCCUGGUGUAGCGGUGAAUGCGCAGAGUAAUCAGGAGGAACACCGGUGGCGAAGGCGGGUCUCUGGGCCGAUAUUGACGCUGAGGAGCGAAAGCGUGGGGAGCGAACAGG
rnacentral:rRNA from 1 species